rnacentral:rRNA from 1 species
AGAGUUUGAUCCUGGCUCAGAAUGAACGCUGGCGGCGUGCUUAACACAUGCAAGUCGUGCGCGAAGGUGGCUUCGGCCACCGGAGAGCGGCGAACGGGUGAGUAACACGUGGGUGAUCUGCCUGGAAGCGGGGGAUAACCUGGGGAAACUCGGGCUAAUACCGCAUACGUUCCUUGUGAUACGUCAUGAGGAAGAAAACCGGCCUCUACUUGUAAGCUGGUGUUUCCAGAGGAGCCCGCGGCUGAUUAGCUAGUUGGUGAGGUAAUGGCUCACCAAGGCGACGAUCAGUAGCCGGCCUGAGAGGGUGAUCGGCCACACUGGGACUGAGACACGGCCCAGACUCCUACGGGAGGCAGCAGUGGGGAAUAUUGGACAAUGGGCGCAAGCCUGAUCCAGCAACGCCGCGUGGAGGACGAAGGCCUUCGGGUCGUAAACUCCUGUCAGGCGGGACGAAGGUGUGGGGGUAAAUAAUCCUUGCACUUGACGGUACCGUCAGAGGAAGCCCCGGCUAACUCCGUGCCAGCAGCCGCGGUAAUACGGAGGGGGCGAGCGUUAUUCGGAAUUAUUGGGCGUAAAGGGCGCGUAGGCGGCUUGGCAAGUCAAAGGUGAAAUCCCUCGGCUCAACUGAGGAACUGCCUUUGAAACUGCUUGGCUUGAGGCCGGGAGGGGAGCGGAAUUCCCAGUGUAGCGGUGAAAUGCGUAGAUAUUGGGAGGAACACCAGUGGCGAAGGCGGCUACCUGGACCGGUUCUGACGCUGAUGCGCGAAAGCGUGGGUAGCAAACAGGAUUAGAUACCCUAGUAGUCC